rnacentral:rRNA from 1 species
GACGGAGGGUGCUAGCGUUGUUCGGAAUUACUGGGCGUAAAGGGCGCGUAGGCGGCCAACUAAGUCAUACGUGAAAUCCCUCGGCUUAACCGGGGAACUGCGUCUGAUACUGGAUGGCUUGAGUUCGGGAGAGGGAUGCGGAAUUCCAGGUGUAGCGGUGAAAUGCGUAGAUAUCGUCAGGAACGCCAAUGGUGAAGACAGGUGACUGGGCUAGUUCUGACACUGAGGCACGAAAGCGUGGGGAGCAAACGGG